rnacentral:rRNA from 1 species
UACGUAGGGGGCAAGCGUUGUCCGGAAUCAUUGGGCGUAAAGCGCGCGUAGGCGGCUCGAUCAGUCUGCUGUAAAAGUCAAAGGCUCAACCUUUGAAUGCCGGUGGAUACUGUCGGGCUAGAGUCCGGAAGAGGCGAGUGGAAUUCCUGGUGUAGCGGUGGAAUGCGCAGAUAUCAGGAGGAACACCAAUGGCGAAGGCAGCUCGCUGGGACGUGACUGACGCUGAGACGCGAAAGCGUGGGGGAGCAAACAGG